rnacentral:ncRNA from 2 species
CUCUUAUCAAGAGAGGCGGAGGGACUGGCCCGACGAUGCCCAGCAACCAUUAGGCAAUUGCUUAAAAGGUGCUAAAUCCUGCAGGAGUAUAUCCUGGAAGAUAAGAG